rnacentral:rRNA from 1 species
ACACGACUACAUUAGAUACCCCGGUAGUCCCAGCCCUAAACGAUGCGCGUUAGGUGUAUCGGUGACCACGAGUCACCGAGGUGCCGAAGGGAAACCGUGAAACGUGCCGCCUGGGAAGUACGGUCGCAAGGCUGAAACUUAAAGGAAUUGGCGGGGAGCACCACAACGGGUGGAGCCUGCGGUUUAAUUGGACUCAACGCCGGGAAGCUCACCGGAUAAGACAGCGGAAUGAUUGCCGGGCUGAAGACCCUGCAUGACCAGCUG